UAAUGGCCCUGCCACUGUCAGUUACAAUCAGGGUAAUUACCACACCUGAAGGUGUUACGCAAUUGGGUAGCUUUGACAAUCAAACGGGUGGGUAUAAAAAGGCAUGAAAUUAUAAUGCGUAAUGACGCACAACGGCUGCUUUGGCACUGUUGGAAGAUUUGACGAAUGGAAGAAUUCGGAGAGAGUGAAUUUUCAGAGACCAGCUAGAUUUACUGGGCGAUGGACUGCAUCUGCAUGGCCGCUGGAGGGUUGUGACGCAUGAGGUGCAGUGGAGACGCCGGGGCUGGGCGCACUCAGCGCCUGCGCAACUGCAUCACCACCGACCCCGCUGGAAAACUCUGCGACUAAAAACAAUAGAACAUG